UACAGAGGUCUCAAGCGUUGUUCGGAUUCAUUGGGCGUAAAGGGUGCGUAGGCGGCGCGGUAAGUCGGGUGUGAAAUCUCGGAGCUUAACUCCGAAACUGCAUUCGAUACUGCCGUGCUUGAGGACUGGAGAGGAGACUGGAAUUUACGGUGUAGCGGUGAAAUGCGUAGAUAUCGUAAGGAAGACCAGUGGCGAAAGCGGCUCUCUGGACCACAACUGACGCUGAGGCGCGAAAGCUAGGGGAGCAAACAGG
rnacentral:rRNA from 1 species